GUGGCGGUGGGAUCCCGCGGCCGUGUUUUCCUGGUGGCCCGGCCAUGCCUGAGGUUUCUCCCUCAGCCGCCCCUCUGCGGGCUCCCAGGUGCCCUUGCCCUCGCGGUCCCCGGCCCUUGCCUGUCUGCGCCCCCUUCCCCGCCCGCCGCCCGCCGAUCCUCUCUCCUCCCCGAGCGGCUCACCGGCUUUACGUCGGUUGGUGGCCGCGUCUGGGACCGAACCGGGCACCGCCUUGUGGAAAAAAAAGAAUAGAAUAUACCCUGUUAAAUCAGACAUGAUACUUGCUUUUGUGGAGCUUAUGCUUUAGUGCAGAAACAGAAAGUCAAGCAAAAACUCAAACUAUGUAACUUUAAAUUGGAUAUGUGCUAAUGAAGGAAAAUGUGGCACUGUAAGAAAAAAUAAUAGGGAGUUAAAGGAUAAAUAGGAGUUUGCUGGAUGAAAUUUAUGAAGAGCUGAAGAUUUCAAACAAAAGAAACUGAUGCAGGAGGGUGCAGCUUUGGAGUCAAGAAUGAAGUUCUAGGAGAUAGAGAGCAAAGAAAUGGUGGGAGAGGAGGUCAAAGUUCUUUCCUCCAGCUCACUUUAUUGUAAGAACCUUGGUGUCUGUAAUCGGCUCGGAACCCUUGCUGCUCUUUCACUGAAUAUCGCUGUCUGGAGGUUACUUGGUACACUGGUCGACAAAACCUUGAAAUGUUGAUGUUUAAGGGCUGUUGAUUGCUGGCAGCAAAGAAGUCCAACUGUGCUGGUACCCGAGAUAGCGUCUCCACAUUUUCUUCCAGGAUCAUCACCUUUGUUCUAAAUAGCUCCCACAUAGUGUGAACAGAAGUCAUAUGUUUUAGAUUUUCUGCCUUGGCACCCAGG
rnacentral:lncRNA from 1 species